rnacentral:lncRNA from 10 species
GUGGUAAGGCCUACAGUGAAAGGGCAGGAGACCACAGAAGUUGGAGCUCUGGGCUGAUUCCUGGGCCAAGUUGGAGUGGGCCCCAGGGUCACUUGGAUAUCAGCAAUCUCAGGGCGAAGGGGCGGCACGGACAGAGUUUCAUCCUUGUUGCCCCGGCUGGAGUUCAAUGGUGCAAUCUCAGCUCACUGCAACUCCCCUGAUCUCAGGCCAUCCGCCCACCUCAGCCUCCCAAAGUGCUGGGAUUACAGGCAUGAGCCACCACGCCCGGCCUCUGCUUUCUUUCUCUGUGAUUUGACUAUUCCAGAUCCCUCAU